AUACGGAGGAUGCGAGCGUUAUCCGGAUUUAUUGGGUUUAAAGGGUGCGUAGGCGGUUUUUUAAGUCAGCGGUGAAACGCAAGGGCUCAACCCUUGACCUGCCGUUGAAACUGGAGGACUUGAAUGCGGAUGCUGUGGGAGGAAUGUGUGGUGUAGCGGUGAAAUGCAUAGAUAUCAUACAGAACACCGAUUUCGAAGGCAUCUCACAAAUCCGUGAUUGACGCUGAGGCACGAAAGUGUGGGAAUCAAACAGGAUUAGAUACCCUGGUAGUCCACAGUGUAAACGAUGAUGACUCGCUGUCGGCGAUAUACAGUCGGUGGCCAAGCGAAAGCGAUAAGUCAUCCACCUGGGGAGUACGACCGCAAGGUUGAUACUCAAAGGAAUUGACGGGG
rnacentral:rRNA from 1 species